UAGGCCUCAGCGUACCCCUACGCCCCCCAGCGUCCCUUAGCUUCUCCCUCCCCCCUGCGGCCCAGGGGGUGAAGUAUGCGGAAGCUGCGUCGGGCCAGUGUAGUGACCCGUGCCCCAGCGUUCCCCUGCGGCGCCGUGAAUCAUUGCCCUGCCAGAGCCCUGAGUCGGUGCCCUGGGGAAGAACGGAGAAGAAAAAUGGUGUUCUUAAAGGUUUAACAGUGAAGAGUUGUGGCUGGAAUAAAUGGUCAGGACGGUCCGGACCAGAUGAACGACGCUGAUCAGAGAAGAUGUCACAUUGAGCCGCCGCAGGAACUAGAUGGGGAGCACUCACGGCCGGACAGAACGGCCAGAUCAUUGCCCCUAGCAACGCCCCCAGGGACACCGAGGACAAAGGACAUCCUGAAACAUGCGUUGGGGUGGCGUCGCUCCAGCAGACCUCCAUAAGAAUAAUCUAUAUUGUAUCUUGGUAUAUAUGUAUGUAUUCCCGACUAUGUUUACCUAUGGAUUUGAAUGGGAAAAACUUUUUGCUUUUAAAGGGGU